rnacentral:rRNA from 1 species
CUUACACAUGCAGUCGAACGAGGAAUCUUAGCUCGCUAGAGAAAGUAAGUGGCGCACGGGUGAGUAACGCGUGGGUAAUCUANNCUCGAAUCGUGGAUAACAUCGCGAAAGCGAUGCUAAUACCGGAUAAAAUCUGGUUGGCUUCGGUGAACCGGAUCAAAGGUGGUCUCUUUAUAAAAGCUACCGUNUGGAGAUGAGCUCGNCGUACAUUAGCUAGUUGGUGAGGUAAAGGCUCACCAAGGCGACGAUGGUUAGCUGGUCUGAGAGGAUGAUCAGCCACACCGGAACUGGAACACGGUCCGGACUCCUACGGGAGGCAGCAGUGAGGAAUUUUGCGCAAUGGGGGAAACCCUGACGCAGCAACGCCGCGUGAGUGAUGAAGGCUUACGGGUCGUAAAGCUCUGUCAGGUGGGAAGAACCCACCAAGUGUUAAGACCACUUGGUGCUGACGGUACCACCGAAGGAAGCACCGGCUAACUCCGUGCCAGCAGCCGCGGUAAUACGGGGGGUGCGAGCGUUAUUCGGAAUCAUUGGGCGUAAAGGGCGCGCAGGCGGUUUUGUAAAGUCAGAUGUGAAAUCCCGGGGCUUAACCCCGGAAGUGCAUAUGAAACUAUGAGACUUGAGUAUGGGAGAGGGAAGCGGAAUUCCUGGUUGUAAGCGGUGAAAUGCGUAGAUAUCAGGAGGAACACCCGGUGGCGAAGGCGGCUUCCUGGACCAAUACUGACGCUGAGGCGCGAAGGCGAUGGGAGCGAACAGGAUUAGAUACCCUGGUAGUCCACGCAGUAAACGUUGAUCACUAGGUGUAGCGGGUAUAAACCCUAGUGUGCCGGAGUUAACGCAU